rnacentral:tRNA from 1 species
UCCCUGAUGGCUCAGUGGUAAAGAAUCUGCCUGCAGUGCAGGAGACGCAGGUUCGAUCCCUGCUCGGGAAG